rnacentral:lncRNA from 1 species
GCCUUUUUUCCUGCCAUCGUGAUCCUCUUACCCAUAACCUAAGUACUAUAUUUUUUUCCGUUAUCCCCUUUGAGAGUUUGGGGCCCGUCUCUGGGAGACAUUACCGAGAGUAAUACUUUUUAAAAUACUGGGUAAAUUGAGGAAGGAGAAGCCCACAGAGAUGCAGAAGAUGAUGAAGUUUGCAUCAUACAUUUGUACCAGCCCUAAGCAAGAUUUAGGACUCCUUUUCUAGCUGAUGAAGUCCAUUGUUGCAAGAGACCCUACAACAGCUUCUAAGACAAGCUUACUUCACUGUUUCUUUGCUGCCUUCGCUUGACCCAGUCAGGCUAGUGGUAGUAACGACGGUGGGUAUUUACCACCCACUUGCUGGAUACACUACGCACUUAGGGAUCUCGUAUGAUCUCAUUUAAGCUUAACAACAAAUUUAAGAUUGUAGGUACUAUUAUCACUGUUCUGUGCUGCCACGAGAAAUAGGCCCUAAAGCGUCAUUAAGGUCAACAAAAGUAUUUUGGGGAAAAGAGGACAAAACACUCCCUGGCGCCCCUGUAAGGAAAGAGCUCAACGCGGGCCGCAGCCGCAAGGAUUUCUGUACCGCGGUCUGCAGGGUGGGGGCGCGGCGGGCUUCCCCGAGGCCCCGCCCCCGCCCCCGCCCCCACAAGCCCUUGCAGCCGCGGCGGCCCCACAGGACAGAAGGACUGGAGCGGGCCGCAGAGAUUUAUGGGAGGUGGUCUGCUGGGUGGGGUCGCCGAGGCCCCGCCUCCUUCCCCUGGGAGCCGCAGAGGCCCCGCCCCGCCGAGGCCCCCCCCCGCCGAGGCCCCGCCCCCGGCCCCCACAAGCCCUUGCAGCCGCCGCAGUGACUGCGCAGAAUGGCUGGAGCGGGCGGCUGCGACGGCGAAGUCCCGGCGCCGGGGAUGGAGAUCAUAGAAAUGAGUGAUGAGUUAAGAAGAAGGAAGCAAGAAAUUGUGAAUGGAUUGAACAUAUUUUUGGAAGAAAAUGAGGCUUAAUAUAAAAAUUAAGAAGUUUGGUAUAAUUACAAAUGAAGAAUUCAGAAAAUCACCGGGAAAUUCUUGGCAAAGAGGUCAAUACCGACAUGGAAAAGAAGAGAAAGAGACUGGAACGCUUUGGACUCCUUUGAUACUCUACAUUAACAUUUCCUCUCCAAGUGUUAUAUAUCAAAGUGAAGAUAAUGGCCAAAUUAAAAUAUUUCAGUGUUCUUUCUUAUCACCAAUACAUCAAUAUUUUCAUUGACAUUGAAUAUGUAAUUGUCUCAUAAUGUCACUGUUAUAUCUUAUAAUAUUUUAAAAGUAUUUAUCCAAGUGUAUUAAAUUACUAGAGAUACUUUUUAAAAAAGAUUCAGUUUAUUUAUUCAUGAGAGAUAGAGACAGAGACACAGGCAGAGGCAGAAGCAGGCUCCCUGCAGGGACAUCACGAUGCAGGACUCGAUCCUGGGACUCUGGGGUCAUGCCCUGAGCCAAAGGGAAAUGUUCAACCACUGAGCCACCCAGGCCCCCCUACUCUAGAUAUUUUAAGUUGAUUGUAGUAUAUUAUGUUUUAAGAACAAACAAAAAAGCCAAAACUGUAUAGUUACAUUUACAUGGAAUUCACAAAUUAUGGUUACUUUGACUUCCUUUAGGUGAGUUAUUAUUGAAUAUUUAUCAUAAAAAUAUUGAAUUUCCUUAUGGUGACCUUGGAUUAAAUACAACUACAGAUUAGCUGAAUACUGGUCAAAAUAAAUUAUAAGCUCAAGCUUCAUUAUCAUUUGUAGUUUGAACAUAACAAAUCUGAUACAGUGUUACUUCAUAAUUCUGAUGCUCUUUGCAGUAAAUUUGAUAUAGAACAGUUGCUAAAGAAACCGUGUUCAAAUGUGUGACCAUUUUUAUGGAAAACAUCUGGGGUAAUUAUAAUUAGUUCAGGAUGUGUACUGUUUAAAAAUAAUCUUGAAUUCAUGGAGAAAGAAGUGUAUCUUCAAUGAGUAGAAUAAUCCAAGUUAGUAUAAAAAAUUCUUUAAGUUAUUGGUAGCUGUGCUUAGAGUAUAAUUUUAGAGUAUUCCAAAAGGAAAUGAGUAACUUUUAUGUAAAAUGCCAAUUUGGCACUUUACACCUGUUAGUGUGUUUCGUUUAGAACAGCUGUGUCUUUUAUUAUCAGUAAACAGAUGCAGAAAGUAAUGGAAUGUUUUAAAGCAAUAUGUUAAUCCUGUCUUCCACUACUGAACUGUCUCACAAUAUAGUGAUUAAAUAUUGACUGUGCAGCUGUUGCUUACAAUUAUAGAAUUUCUUAGUUAAUUUCUCCUUCCCAGGCCCAAAUGAGAUCUAAUUUCUAAUCUUAAAGUGUUCAUUAUGUAGUUUAUUAUAAUUUGAUUUCUAAGGAUAAUAUAUUUGAUUCUUGAGAUAGAUUCAUAUGUUUAUAAAACGAUUGUUUCUGAAUUGACUAAUAUUCUAAGUGGCAUAAAUAAUUUUUAAAAGUAUUUUAAAAAGUAAAUUUGUUCCUGAAUAUGAAGAUGACUAUUUAAAUGUAACAAUUUCAUGCUUGAAAACUGCCAUCAAUGAAAUAAAAAGGGAAUUAUGGUUGUUUUAUCAAAUAUUUAUGGAGAUUUGAUAAGCUCCUGCAAAUUAUUUCAGUCUCGUGGCCCUUUUGCAGUUUAAUUAUGUUUUAAUCCUUACAUCUCACCUUGUCAGAAAAGAUAUUUUAGAUGCCACAUCAAUAAUUAUCACUUUUAUACUUAAGCAGUUGUAUUAGGUAAAAUUAUUAUUAGCUGACAUUUAUUGUGCUAUAUCUGAAAGGAUUUAUGCAAAGAACUCUACAUGUAUUAUAAUAUUCUUACCCCUUUUUGUAGAUGAGGAAGUUCAACCUUAGAAAUAUGAUGUAAAUGGACCAAGGCCUUACUCCUGGGAAGUGUUGAAGACUGUUUAAACCCAGGCAUUUUCACCCUCAAGUCUCUUGUUCCUUUUAUUUAUUUAUUUUUUUAUCUAUUUAUUUGAGGGGUGGCGCAUGAGCAGGGGGAGGGGCAGAGGAAAAGGGAGAAGACUCAGGGGCUCGAUCCCAAGACCCUGAGGUCAUGGCCUGAGCCCAAGGCAGACACUUAACUGACAGCCCCAAGCUCCUUGUUCUUAACAACUUUUCAUUUUGCCUGCCUUUAGCAUCUAAUACUGACAUGAUAUAGAAGGGAGAUUACAGAAAAUGAACUUUGUGUCCUUUUUUUGAAGCCACUAUGUGCAUUCCAAGUGACAGUUCUCUCAUUUAGUCCUUUUGCCUAAAUAAAAAACAACUAAAACAUGCACGGAAAGAUGAAGAGCUCCAGUUCUUGUUAUUUCACCACACGAUAACUGUGUCAGUGCUCUGCAACAUCAUCAGAGGUAUCACAAGUAUUGUCAUAGUCUACACUAUAGAAGAUUUUGAAAUCCCUCCUUAUUUUACUCUAAUUGUGCUGCUUUAUGGAGACAACUCCAAUAAUCUGUUCCCCUUCCCAAAAAGGAAAGUUUCUUUGGUUCAAGAGAUUUUUAAAGAGCAACAUGAUAUAAUUUAUACCUGUUAUAUUAUUUAUACCUUAACCUACAAGUAUCAGUUAUUAUUGAAAUUUAUUAAAUAUUCACUGCCAGAUAUCAUUACUACUUCUAUAGUUGUAGUUUAUUUUGUCAUUUGCUGUAGGAAGUAUGCCAUUUUAUAUACGAAGAAACUGAGAGUCUCCGAGAUAUUAAAUAAAUUGGUCAAGAUCACAGCUAGCAAAUGAUAUUUGUAUGCAUUUGACUUAAAAAAAACUGAAAAUUUAAAAAUGCCCAGCUAAUUAUUUUUGUAGGGAGCUUUAAGAUAACAGAUGGCUACUUCAAUGUAGUUUCCCUUGACACUGAUGAGAAUGCUUAUAGGAUUAACUGGGAUCAGUAAUGUCAUGAGGUAUUGCUAGAAGAAACUUAAUAUAGCAGAAGUCCAUUAUAAGGCGAUGUUUUAGGGGCAAAAUGUUCUUGCAUGAAAGUUGUCUGAAAUAUCAGAAGAAAAACAUAGAAGAGUAUAAAAUGUCAUUUUUCAUGUUACCAGUUUUAAAUGAAUAAAGCUUUACAUAUUUUGCUAAAUUUAAUCAGCUAUGCUAUAUUCAGUGUUGCUAUUUUAUUCAAAUUAUUUUUUGUGUCUCCAUCAAAAUUAUAUCUAUUUUGAGAUAAUUGUAGAUUUACAUGCAAUUUUAAGUAAUAGUACUACUACAGACAGUGUGCCCUUUAUGCAAGUCCCCU